GACGAACGCUGGCGGCGUGCUUAACACAUGCAAGUCGAGCGGUAAGGCCCCUUCGGGGGUACACGAGCGGCGAACGGGUGAGUAACACGUGAGCAAUCUGCCCAUCACAUCGGGAUAACUUCGGGAAACCGGAGCUAAUACCGAAUACGACCACCUCCGGCAUCGGAUGGUGGUGGAAAGUUCCGGCGGUGAUGGAUGAGCUCGCGGCCUAUCAGCUUGUUGGUGGGGUAACGGCCCACCAAGGCUUCGACGGGUAGCCGGCCUGAGGGGGUGACCGGCCACACUGGGACUGAGACACGGCCCAGACUCCUACGGGAGGCAGCAGUGGGGAAUAUUGGACAAUGGGCGAAAGCCUGAUCCAGCAACGCCGCGUGAGGGAUGACGGCCUUCGGGUUGUAAGCCUCUUUCAGCAGGGACGAAGCGCAAGUGACGGUACCUGCAGAAGAAGCACCGGCCAACUACGUGCCAGCAGCCGCCGUAAGAC
rnacentral:rRNA from 1 species